rnacentral:rRNA from 1 species
GUUAGGGGGGGGCCAGAGGCGGCGCUAAUAAGAAGGGGGGGGGCGUGGCUCGGAAUCAAGGGGCGUAAAGCGCACGGAGGCGGCUUUCUAAGUCAGGGGUGAAAUCCUGGAGCUCAACUCCAGAACGGCCGUUGAUACUGGAGAGCUCGAGUCCGGAAGAGGUGAGUGGAACUGCGAGUGUAGAGGUGAAAUUCGUAGAUAUUCGCAAGAACACCAGGGGCGAAGGCGGCUCACUGGUCCGGUACUGACGCUGAGGUGCGAAAGCGUGGGGAGCAAACAGGAUUAGAUACCCUAGUAGUC